CGGACGGGUGAGUAAUGUCUGGGAAACUGCCUGAUGGAGGGGGAUAACUACUGGAAACGGUAGCUAAUACCGCAUAACGUCGCAAGACCAAAGAGGAGGACCUUCGGGCCUCUUGCCAUCGGAUGUGCCCGGAUGGGAUUAGCUAGUAGGUGGGGUAAAGGCUCACCUAGGCGACGAUCCCUAGCUGGUCUGAGAGGAUGACCAGCCACACUGGAACUGAGACACGGUCCAG
rnacentral:rRNA from 1 species